rnacentral:rRNA from 1 species
UACAGAGGUCUCAAGCGUUGUUCGGAUUCAUUGGGCGUAAAGGGUGCGUAGGCGGCGCUGUAAGUCGGGUGUGAAAUUUCGGAGCUUAACUCCGAAACUGCAUUCGAUACUGCGGUGCUUGAGGACUGGAGAGGAGACUGGAAUUCAUGGUGUAGCAGUGAAAUGCGUAGAGAUCAUGAGGAAGACCAGUGGCGAAGGCGGGUCUCUGGACAGUUCCUGACGCUGAGGCACGAAGGCCAGGGGAGCAAACGGG